GACAAACAGAUCAAAUUAAGAUUCGUUCAGUAUAAAAGGGGGUUAGAAAUAGAAAAAUUUAAGAAGGUUUGAUGUUUCUUAUAGAGGUGGAAUUUGUAUAGGUUAGUUUGAUUUGUAGCUUUCUUGUUUUUGAUGCCCCGAAAGUUUAGUAGAAGACCGGGAUUAGAUACCCCGUUAUUUAUUAUGUAAACUUUAAUUAAUGUUUUGAUUUACUUGGGUAUUACGGGUUGCUUAGAAUAUUUUAGAUUGUUUAAGUAGAUUGCUUAGAACCCAAAAAACUUGGCGGUGCUUUAUUUCCCUCCAGGGGAACCUGUCCUGUAAUCGAUGGUCCACGAUUUAACUUACCUUUUUUUGUAUUAAAUGCCAUUUGAUUUGGUAGAUAAGCAGCUUGUAUACCGUCGUCGUCAGAUUACCUUUAAGAGAGAUAAAAGUUGUCUAGAGAGAAUGGGUUUUGUGUUCGUAAUGUGUAUGGGAUUUACAUAGUAUAGUGUGAAACUAAGUCUUUGAUGUCAGAUCAAGGUGCAGCUUAUGAAAAGGAAGAGAUGGGUUACAAUAAGUAGUUAUUAUACGGAUUUCAUGUUGUGAUACAUGACUGAAGGCGGACUUGGGAGUAAUGUUGAUUUUUGGUUAUAAUAGUGAGUUAGUGUGAAAGUGGUAUUAAGGUGUGU
rnacentral:rRNA from 1 species